GCCGCGGUAAUACGUAGGGUGCAAGCGUUAAUCGGAAUUACUGGGCGUAAAGCGUGCGCAGGCGGUUUGUUAAGACAGAUGUGAAAUCCCCGGGCUCAACCUGGGAACUGCAUUUGUGACUGGCAAGCUAGAGUAUGGCAGAGGGGGGUGGAAUUCCGCGUGUAGCAGUGAAAUGCGUAGAUAUGCGGAGGAACACCGAUGGCGAAGGCAGCCCCCUGGGCCAAUACUGACGCUCAUGCACGAAAGCGUGGGGAGCAAACAGGAUUAGAUACCCUGGUAGUCCACGCCCUAAACGAUGUCAACUAGUUGUUGGGGAUUCAUUUCCUUAGUAACGUAGCUAACGCGUGAAGUUGACCGCCUGGGGAGUACGGUCGCAAGAUUAAAACUCAAAGAAAUUGACG
rnacentral:rRNA from 1 species